GUUCAUGUGAGAAAUCGAGUUUCAGUUGGUUAAUUGUUGUACAAACUAUUUUUAUCACCUCUGAAACUUGUGACUUCCUCAGAAGUUGCAGAGAAAUUGUGACUUAUAUCAUCGUUCUGCUGUGCUGUAGCCGUGCUGCAGAGCUGACUCUCUAGGAAAUAGUUGGUGACUUUAUGAGCAAUGGAGGAGAUCUAUGUCAAAGUUGAAUAUAAACCCGUCGACCCAAGACCUUUAGCAAAUCAGACAGGUAAGACCGUUCAGUCAGACUGAGAGGUUGUGCACAGAUACAUAUUAUCAUCUGUCAUUAUUAAUAUUGUACACUUGACUGUAUUCACUGAUCUUUCAGGUCCCACGAGCUCUGAGAGGAGAUUUCAUGGAUCUGUUGUUCUCUGUCUGGGGCUGUUCACUGUUCUCCUGCUGGUUGGACUCAUCGCCCUCAGUGUGCACUAUCUGGAUUGAGUUGCAUCUUGACACUCCAAGAAUUCUGAACCUCUUCUGCACAAAAUGGGGAACCAUGGGGUUGAGGUUGCAGGGUAUCCUACUCAAGGUAUUCUUCAGAAGCUGAUGAAGACAGCGUGUCACAAGACCUUCCCAUGCAAAAGAUGAAAAUGUACAGCAUCGAGACUAGUACAACAUCAUCGAUAAAAUGGCCCAUGAAAAACUGCUAUCUGAGAUAAUAAUAAA